AACUCUUCGGAGUUAGUGGCGGACGGGUGAGUAACACGUGGGAACGUGCCUUUUGGUUCGGAAUAACUCAGGGAAACUUGUGCUAAUACCGAAUGUGCCCUUCGGGGGAAAGAUUUAUCGCCAUUAGAGCGGCCCGCGUCUGAUUAGCUAGUUGGUGAGGUAAAGGCUCACCAAGGCGACGAUCAGUAGCUGGUCUGAGAGGAUGACCAGCCACACUGGGACUGAGACACGGCCCAGACUCCUACGGGAGGCAGCAGUGGGGAAUCUUGCGCAAUGGGCGAAAGCCUGACGCAGCCAUGCCGCGUGAAUGAUGAAGGUCUUAGGAUUGUAAAAUUCUUUCACCGGGGACGAUAAUGACGGUACCCGGAGAAGAAGCCCCGGCUAACUUCGUGCCAGCAGCCGCGGUAAUACGAAGGGGGCUAGCGUUGCUCGGAAUUACUGGGCGUAAAGGGCGCGUAGGCGGAUCGUUAAGUCAGGGGUGAAAUCCCGGGGCUCAACCUCGGAACUGCCCUUGAUACUGGCGAUCUUGAGUAUGAGAGAGGUAUGUGGAACUCCGAGUGUAGAGGUGAAAUUCGUAGAUAUUCGGAAGAACACCAGUGGCGAAGGCGACAUACUGGCUCAUUACUGACGCUGAGGCGCGAAAGCGUGGG
rnacentral:rRNA from 1 species